ensembl:snRNA U6 U6 spliceosomal RNA
GUGCUGGCUUCAGCAGCACAUAUGCUGGAGUUGGAAUAGUGCAGAAAGGAUUAGUGUGGCCUCUGUGCAAGGAGGAAACAAAAAUUCAUGAAAUUAUAUACACACAU